rnacentral:rRNA from 1 species
ACGGGUGAGUAAUACAUCGGAACGUGCCCAGUCGUGGGGGAUAACGUAGCGAAAGCUACGCUAAUACCGCAUACGAACUCUGGUUGAAAGCGGGGGAUCGCAAGACCUCGCGCGAUUGGAGCGGCCGAUGGCAGAUUAGGUAGUUGGUGGGGUAAAGGCUCACCAAGCCGACGAUCUGUAGCUGGUCUGAGAGGACGACCAGCCACACUGGGACUGAGACACGGCCCAGACUCCUACGGGAGGCAGCAGUGGGGAAUUUUGGACAAUGGGCGCAAGCCUGAUCCAGCCAUUCCGCGUGCAGGAUGAAGGCCCUCGGGUUGUAAACUGCUUUUGUACGGAACGAAACGGCCUGCUCUAAUACAGCGGGCUAAUGACGGUACCGUAAGAAUAAGCACCGGCUAACUACGUGCCAGCAGCCGCGGUAAUACGUAGGGUGCGAGCGUUAAUCGGAAUUACUGGGCGUAAAGCGUGCGCAGGCGGUUAUGUAAGACAGAUGUGAAAUCCCCGGGCUCAACCUGGGAACUGCAUUUGUGACUGCAUAGCUCGAGACCGGUAGAGGGGGAUGGAAUUCCGCGUGUAGCA